rnacentral:lncRNA from 1 species
GCUCCCUAGACUGCAACAGAACCAUAACCCUCAAUAUAUCAUCUUUGCCGCAAUGUCCUGCAGUCCAGAACACAUCAAUUCUUUGUGGCACUCAGAAACAGAUCGAUUCUUUGGCAGCCGUGGUACUUCAGAACCGACAGGGGCUAGAUGUCCUGUCAGCUAAAGAAGGUGGUCUCUGCCUGUUCCUCCAAGAAGAAUGCUGUUUCUACAUCAACCAAUCUGGGAGGAUAGUGAGAAAUAAAAUCCAGGAGCUAUAGUCAGACAUCAAGAACUUCAGAGACUGUGAUACCUCCAACUCUGGGAUUUUUGAAAAUCCUAUAUGUGGAUACUGCCUUUUGUAACACCUUUCCUAGUCAUCUUCCUGGCGUUAUUUGCUCCCUGCCUCAUUAAUCUUGUUUCUACAUUCCUUCAAGGAGAAAUAUUAAUCAGCUCCUUUUACAGGAUUACCAGCUACUGCCCACAGAAGAUCCUCUGUCCACAGAGGAACCUGAAGCGACCAUUUAUCAAGUGGAUCCUGAUGGUGAUAGCCAGCUAUACCCCAAAAUUGACGGUUGCCCCUAGACAGCAGGAAGCAGCUUAAGAGACACGACACCUUCGUUCCCUUUUCACCAUUGGCUUCCCUCUCCCCUUUUCUUCCCUUCUCUUUAUAAUAAGAAGGGAGGUCGUUGGCAUCAGGACAUUCCAAACCUAUGACAUCACAUAGGUGACAAUGGGAUCUGUUGCUGUUGAGAUGCGACCCUUCAUUCUAACACAUCAGUAUGUACUCAUUUUCCAGGAUCAACAGUUA